AGUGAACGCUGGCGGUAGGCCUAACACAUGCAAGUCGAACGGCAGCACAGGAGAGCUUGCUCUCUGGGUGGCGAGUGGCGGACGGGUGAGGAAUACAUCGGAAUCUACUCUGUCGUGGGGGAUAACGUAGGGAAACUUACGCUAAUACCGCAUACGACCUACGGGUGAAAGCAGGGGACCUUCGGGCCUUGCGCGGUUGAAUGAGCCGAUGUCGGAUUAGUUAGUUGGCGGGGUAAAGGCCCACCAAGGCGACGAUCCGUAGCUGGUCUGAGAGGAUGAUCAGCCACACUGGAACUGAGACACGGUCCAGACUCCUACGGGAGGCAGCAGUGGGGAAUAUUGGACAAUGGGCGCAAGCCUGAUCCAGCCAUACCGCGUGGGUGAAGAAGGCCUUCGGGUUGUAAAGCCCUUUUGUUGGGAAAGAAAUCCAGCCGGCUAAUACCCGGUUGGGAUGACGGUACCCAAAGAAUAAGCACCGGCUAACUUCGUGCCAGCAGCCGCCGUAA
rnacentral:rRNA from 1 species